UGCGUCGCCGCCAGGUGUCCGCCGGGGCCCUCGGCGUCGCCGGGUUCGGGGACUUCGCGCUCGGGGGCGCGCGGGGACGAGCUGCUCUCGGCGCCUCCGGGCUCCCCCGCGCUGCUGCUGCCGCCGCCGCUGCUGCUGCCGCCGUCGCUGCGGCAGUCCUCGGGGGGGUCGUGGAGCAGACGGCCCAGGCCCACUGCGGAGGGAGGGGCGCGCCCCGACAGACACGCGGCGUCAGGCCCCGGCGUCCGCGGCAGUUUGACCUGCGGGCGGUGCCGCCGCCGCCGCCGCCCCGCCCCGCCCCGGACCCGGGCACCCGGCCAAGUGGGCAACACGCGGGAGUGGGCGAGCGAAUCCCGGCUCGGCCUCGGGGUGGGAGGGGCGGCCCCUCGGUCCCAGUCCCCGCGCCCACCAGGAACCGAGGGCCCGGGGCGGCGGGGACCCCGCGCGCCAAGUUUCCUCUCCCUGGCUGGGGGUCGGAGUCUGACCUCACCCCACCUAGCCCGCGGCCUGCCGGAUCCUGGGGCACCCCGUGAGGACGUGGGGCUGAGCAGCCCCCCACUGGCCUUCAGUCCCCCCUCCUGGGCCACCUGGGCCCGCGCGGCAGUCAACGGUCCCGCCGCCGGGCAAUUACGGGCGCCCACUAGGGGGACGGGGGCGCAGGGCGUCGCGGCUCUCCAGCCCCUCACUCGGUCUCCCCGCCUGGGACCUCCCCCACCCCAAGAGAGGGGGCGUGCGGCGGGGAGCCCAGCCCUCGCCGAGGAGCCGAGGGGACCCGGCGCCCCCUGCCCCCACCCCCGGAGUCCCGCGCCCAGGCCCGGCCCCCGCGCGGCGCUCACCUGGGAUGUAGGUGUCUGCCCUCUCCUCGUCUGGGAGCUCAUCCCAGCUGCGGACGGAGACCCCCGGGCUCCUCCUCUUCACCAGGAAGACUUUGGGCAUCGUGCGGCCCCUCCCCGGCCGGCGGCCCCCUCCUGCCCUGCUCCCCGCUACAGGCUGCGGCGGGGACUCGGUCCCCGGCUCCCGGCGGCCAGAGCCCACCUUCCCGCCUCGCGGGCCCUCUCCCUCCCGCCCCCGCCGCGCCGCGGCCCAGGCCUCUCCCCCGCACGCCCGGCGACUCCCAGCCUCCAGGCUCGGCGACACCUAUGCCUUAAAUCGCGGGUGAGACCACGCCGAGGAAAAAGUUUCAUAAGGUGGAAUAGAAAAGGCACCAGGAAACUUGGGAGUGAGCAUGCGCCCUGCAACAUAACGGUGUCAACAAGCUCGCUACCUGUCCGACCGGUUCCGGCGGCCGGGGCUGCCUGUUCCAGCCCUUCCUUAGGCAUGAAUGUUUGCAAAAGAAUUUAA
rnacentral:lncRNA from 1 species